UGCAGUCAUUAGGGUGGAACAAAAGAGAUGUGGCUUAUAUCAUGCAGUUUCCCCAGAGGUCAUGCCUUUGAGUAGCAGAAUCAUUUAAAAUGCUAUUCACGGAUUCACAGAAAACAGUUAGACGUGGAUUGUUCAGACAGCAUGGGCAGAAGGACUCAUGGAUGACCAUUAGGUUAUGGUGGUUUAAGGGCUCCAUACAGUAUGUGACGUUCCUUUGGCCUUGGACAAGACAAACGGCAGCCCAGCUAUAAAUUCCAGCUUUGUGAAUCUUACAACAUAGUCUUUGGUGAGAAAGAGUCAUAGAAUGGAUUCUGAGGUAUUACUUUCUAACCCCCAAACCUAAAAUUCACAAAUAAUACCUUUAAUGACAAUCCACAAAUAUGAACUUUCUGUAUGAGUAAUGUGUUCCAGUUUGAGAAGAUUUGUGUUUGAGAGGAACAGAUAUUAUGGCCAUAUAACGUGGGCAUUUAAAGGUAGCUCUGUUUGUUUCUCUUUUAUUGACUUCUUUUCGAGUCUACUUUUUCUUGCCCUGAUGACUAAGCAAAAGUCCCGCUAGUGAUUAUGUAUCAUUCUCAGACAUUAGAAAACAAGUGUCGUUCUUUUAGGUUUCUUACAGAGCGAACACAGACACACACACACAUUAUACAAUCAAAAAUCAAUAUUCUCUCCCUUAAACCUUCAAACCACUAGUGGAACAUUUUCGAUUGGUAUUGCGGUUUUGUAAACGUUUUUUAAUGAAUCUUUUAAUGGAUGAAUCUUUCUCAUUUAAUUCCAUGCAUUUGUAAAUCACUCUGUGUAAUUAUUCAACAAAUCAGUGAACAAAUCUUUUGGAGAACAGAUUUCAAAUUGUAGCAUUCAUUUCAUUCAAGCAGAUGAUUUGAGUCUUGUAUUCUUUCAGUAAGCUUGUAGAAUUGGUGACAUUUUCUCUGUACAUUAAACUGUGGGAUAAAGGAACAAAAACAUCAAAUAAAAUGACAUUAUUCACCUUUAAAAUAAUUAAAUCAUUUAUCAGAGAAACAGUGCUUAAAGUGAGAGCUCUGUUUUAAAUAUCAGAUCACUGUAUUUAUUGGAAGUCAUUUUCUGAAAUUUCUCUCUUUAUUUGCCUCAUGCAUUGCAGUCAGACAGGGGUUUAAAUAUUCCUGUGACUGUGGUUCUCAGUGCUCUCUGAAAUGCCUUUUAUGAUUUAAUGAUCAUAAUGCUCAGUCAGCCGCAUCAUCCUUUCAUCAAUUUCUCAAGUCUCUCUAUCUUUCUAUGAGGAAAUAUAUAUGUGUAUAUAUGGUCACUAUGCCUUUUUAUUAAUCAGAUCAAUAAAAUCAUGAAAGGAUGGGGUUGGUAGUAUUUUAUGUUUUUGAAAGAAGUCUUUUAUUCCCUCCAAUGCAAUUUUUAAAAAUACAGUAAAAACUGUAAAAUUGUCAAAUGUUAUUACAGUGUAAAAUAACUGUUUUAUAAUUGUAUAAAUGUUAAAAAUUAGUUUAUGAUGGUAAAGCUGAAUUUUCAGCAUCAUUACUCCAGUCUUCAGUGUCACAUAAUCCUCCAGAAAUCAUUCUAAUAUGCUGAUUUGUACUCAAGAAAAAUUUAUUAUCAUUAUCAAUGUUGAAAACAGUUGAAAACUGUGAUACUUUUUUUUUCUUUGAUGAAUAUAAAGUUAUUGCAUUUUUUAAAUAGAAUUUAAUAAACAUGUCUUUACAGUCACUUUUGAUUAACUGAAUCCAUUUUUGCUGAAUAAAAGUGUUCAGUGAAAGCAUAAAUAGGCUUCUGUGGAUAGUUGUUUUGCCUAUA
ensembl:lncRNA